rnacentral:rRNA from 1 species
CUUUUCCCUCUGGACGAGCGGGGGACGGGGGAGUAAUGUAUGGGGAUCUGCCCGAUAGGGGGGGAUAACUACUGGGAACGGGAGCUAAUACCGCGUAAUCUCUCAGGAGCAAAGGAGGGGAACUUCGGGCCUUGCGCUAUCUGAUGAACCCAUAUGGGAUUAGCUAGUAGGGGAGGGAAUGGCUCACCUAGGCGACGAUCCCUAUAUGGGCUGAGAGGAUGAUCAGCCACACUGUGACUGAGACACGGCCCACACUCCUACGGGAGGGAGCAGUCGGGAAUAUUGCACAAUGGGCGCAAGCCUGAGGCACACAUGCCGCGUGUAUGAAGAAAGCCCUAGGGUUGUAAAGGACUUUCACUCGGGAGAAGGGCGUUGAUGGUAAUAUCAUCAACGAUUGACGCUACCGACAGAAAAAACACCGGCUAACUCCGCGCCAGCAGCCGCGGGAAUACGGAGGGGGCGAGCGUUAUUCGGGAUUUCUGGGGGUGAAACGCACACACGCG